rnacentral:rRNA from 1 species
UACGGGGGGGGCAAGCGUUGUUCGGAAUUACUGGGCGUAAAGGGCUCGUAGGCGGCCAACUAAGUCGGAUGUGAAAUCCCCCAGGCUCAACCUGGGAACUGCGUCUGAUACUGGAUGGCUUGAAUCCGGGAGAGGGAUGCAGAAUUCCAGGUGUAGCGGUGAAAUGCGUAGAUAUCUGGAGGAAUACCGGUGGCGAAGGCGGCAUCCUGGACCAUUACUGACGCUGAGGCGCGAAAGCUAGGGGAGCAAACGGG